rnacentral:lncRNA from 1 species
AGAUGACUUUGGGUCUCAGAUGAUUUUGUGGUUCCGAAUUCAAGCCGAAGCUUUGAUCCUGUGCUCCGUGAUACACAACCAACCAACCAGUCUUGUCUGCAUCAUUUGCAUCAUAGCAUGUUUGUUUUAAAAAAAAAAUAAUGCAAUAAAAAAAGUCAAAAGAAAAAUUGGAAAGAAAAGAAAAGAAAAAAGCUAAUCUCUUCAUGCAUAUCAUU